rnacentral:rRNA from 1 species
GUCUCCUUGAAUGCUAAUAAAUAUAAGGAGUCAGACCUGCCCGGUGACUUAAUGUUAAACGGCCGCGGUACCCUAACCGUGCAAAGGUAGCAUAAUCAUUUGCCUUUUAAUUGGAGGCUGGUAUGAAUGGUUUGACGAAAGCUAAGCUGUGUCUUCUGUGAAUUAUUUAUAAAUUAAUUUUUAGGUGAAGAAUCCUAAAUUUACUUAAGGGACAAGAAGACCCUAUUGAGCUUUAGUAAUAUUAUAAGCAUGAUAACGUGCAUUAAAAUGUAAGUUUGACUUGUAAUUAAUCUUUAGUUGGGGCGAUUAAGGAACAUAAAAAGCUUCCUUUAAUUAUUGCUAUUAUAGAAAUUAUAAUAAAUUAUUCUGGCGUGUUAAGUUGAUCCAAAUUUAUUUGAUUAAAGGAAAAAGUUACCAUAGGGAUAACAGCGUAAUCUUUCUGGAGAGAUCUUAUCGAAAGAAGGGUUUGCGACCUCGAUGUUGGACUAAGAUAUCCUAAGGGUGUAGAAGUUCUUAAGGGUUGGUCUGUUCGACCAUUAAAAUCUU